AACUCAAACUCAAACUCAAUCUCAAAGCUAUCUACAAUACUUGCAAACUUAUCAUCACCAAAAGCCCCAAUUGUCUCUUCUGUAAACCCAAAAGGCUACAAUGGCUAAGUAUGUGUCAAUGCCUUUUGUUGCUGCUGCUGGGAUAUAUUUCCUUGACAAAAACCACUACCAACCAAAGGAACUUGGAGGUGGGAUUGGAGAAACCAUCCAACAUGUCGUACCAAAACCGAAGGUGGAGCUGAACAACACCACUCAGAUGCUAAAGUUGGCACCCCAAUUUGACGGGUUGGACUCCUUUGAAACCUUGGUGGCUCGUUAGCUCCCCUUACCCCUGCAGCUAAGCAGGGUAUCCUGGUGCUUCCUUCCAAGGAGUAUUAAUCUUUAGCAGCAUAGGAAGAUAUGUCCUUGCAUCUUCCACCUGCACAUAUUUCACGAAAUAUGAUCAUCUCCUCCUCCUCCUCCAAUAUAGUUAGUUUUCCUGCAUUAUUAAAAGAAAACGAAACUAAGAGCAGGCAACCUAAUUUUCCUUCUGCUAUGAUGUGACGGUAUUAUAUUCAGUGAAGUUACAAUUUCACACACCAACACCAAUUCCAAACGAGGGAUCAUGAUUUGAGCAAGGAAGCCAUCUAUUAUACUAAGCAUUGAAAACUCUGACUCUGAAUUGGACACCUAAAGAGUCUGUUACAUCCAUUAUAUACAGCAACAAAAUUCCUCCAUU